UACGGGGGGAGCAAGCGUUGUUCGGAUUUACUGGGCGUAAAGGGCGCGUAGGCGGUCGUGACAAGUCACUUGUGAAAUCUCCGGGCUUAACUCGGAACGGUCAAGUGAUACUGUCGGACUAGAGUACAGAAGGGGCAACUGGAAUUCUCGGUGUAGCGGUGAAAUGCGUAGAUAUCGGGAGGAACACCAGUGGCGAAGGCGGCUCUCUGGGCAAUGACCGACGCUGAGGCGCGAAGGCGUGGGAAGCAAACAGG
rnacentral:rRNA from 1 species